rnacentral:rRNA from 1 species
UACAGAGGUCCCAAGCGUUGUUCGGAUUCACUGGGCGUAAAGGGUGCGUAGGUGGCCAGGUAAGUUUGGUGUGAAAGCUCGGAGCUUAACUCCGAAAAGUCAUUGAAUACUAUCUGGCUGGAGGGUCGGAGGGGAGACUGGAAUUCUCGGUGUAGCAGUGAAAUGCGUAGAUAUCGAGAGGAACACCAGAGGCGAAGGCGGUUUCCUGGACAGUUACUGACGCUCAGGCACGAAAGCAUGGGGAGCAAAAGGG